AGCGCACAAUGUUGCAUGACAUGGUGUGAAAAACUCCGGUGGUAUAAGAUGGACCCGCGUCUGAUUAGCUAGUUGGUGAGAUAACAGCCCACCAAGGCGACGAUCAGUAGCCGACCUGAGAGGGUGACCGGCCACAUUGGGACUGAGACACGGCCCAGACUCCUACGGGAGGCAGCAGUGGGGAAUAUUGCACAAUGGAGGAAACUCUGAUGCAGCGACGCCGCGUGAGUGAAGAAGUAAUUCGUUAUGUAAAGCUCUAUCAGCAGGGAAGAUAGUGACGGUACCUGACUAAGAAGCUCCGGCUAAAUACGUGCCAGCAGCCGCGGUAAUACGUAUGGAGCAAGCGUUAUCCGGAUUUACUGGGUGUAAAGGGAGUGUAGGUGCCCAUGCAAGUCAGAAGUGAAAAUCCGGGGCUCAACCCCGGAACUGCUUUUGAAACUGUAAGGCUAGAGUGCAGGAGGGGUGAGUGGAAUUCCUAGUGUAGCGGUGAAAUGCGUAGAUAUUAGGAGGAACACCAGUGGCGAAGGCGGCUCACUGGAC
rnacentral:rRNA from 1 species